rnacentral:hammerhead_ribozyme from 1 species
GUACACUGAGGAGUCCCAUACUAGGACGAAACGGCCGUCUAGUAC